UGCCCAAUAGCCAAGUUGGUAAGGCACAGGAUUUUGACUCCUGUAUCCCUGGUUCGAGUCCAGGUUGGGCAGCCA
rnacentral:tRNA from 1 species